ensembl:snoRNA small nucleolar RNA, H/ACA box 61
ACCCUCCUGUUCCCUUUCCCAUUGGAUCUCAACACUGGUCUUUGUGGUCGUAAAGGAGGGAGGGCGUGCUGAAGCUGGCCUCACAGGCUUGUAGACUGGUUAUAAGCAUGUGGGCCAGAUUCAAACAGGG